UACGGAGGAUGCAAGCGUUAUCCGGAUUCAUUGGGUUUAAAGGGUGCGUAGGCGGGCUAUUAAGUCAGUGGUGAAAUCCUGCAGCUUAACUGCAGAACUGCCGUUGAUACUGAUAGUCUUGAGUUUGGUUAAGGUAGGCGGAAUGUGUAAUGUAGCGGUGAAAUGCUUAGAUAUUACACAGAACACCAAUUGCGUAGGCAGCUUACUGAGCCGACACUGACGCUGAGGCACGAAAGCGUGGGGAUCAAACAGGAUUAGAAACCCCUUAGUCC
rnacentral:rRNA from 1 species